rnacentral:rRNA from 1 species
CGUAACAAGGUCUCCGUAGGUGAACCUGCGGAGGGAUCAUUACACAAAUAUGGAGGCGGGCUGGAACCUCUCGGGGUUACAGCCUUGCUGAAUUAUUCACCCUUGUCUUUUGCGUACUUCUUGUUUCCUUGGUGGGUUCGCCCACCACUAGGACAAACAUAAACCUUUUGUAAUUGCAAUCAGCGUCAGUAACAAAUUAAUGAUUACAACUUUCAACAACGGAUCUCUUGGUUCUGGCAUCGAUGAAGAACGCAGCGAAAUGCGAUAAGUAGUGUGAAUUGCAGAAUUCAGUGAAUCAUCGAAUCUUUGAACGCACAUUGCGCCCUUCGGUAUUCCAAAGGGCAUGCCUGUUCGAGCGUCAUUUGUACCCUCAAGCUUUGCUUGGUGUUGGGCGUCUUGUCUCUAGCUUUGCUGGAGACUCGCCUUAAAGUAAUUGGCAGCCGGCCUACUGGUUUCGGAGCGCAGCACAAGUCGCACUCUCUAUCAGCAAAGGUCUAGCAUCCAUUAAGCCUUUUUUUUCAACUUUUGACCUCGGAUCAGGUAGGGAUACCCGCUGAACUUAAGCA